rnacentral:rRNA from 1 species
UACAGAGGGGGCAAGCGUUGUUCGGAAUUACUGGGCGUAAAGCGCGCGCAGGCGGCCCUUUAAGUCCACUGGUCAAAAGCCGGGGCUCAACCCCGAGCUCGCCAGGGAUACUGGAGGGCUGGAGACACGUAGAGGCAAGCGGAAUUCCGGGUGUAGCGGUGGAAUGCGUAGAGAUCCGGAAGAACACCGGAGGCGAAGGCGGCUUGCUGGGCCGAUACUGACGCUGAGGAGCGAAAGCGUGGGGAGCGAACAGG